rnacentral:lncRNA from 1 species
CCCUCGACUCCAGCUUCUCCAAUGCAGACGAAUUUUUGCGCCAACAGGAUUGGCGCUAGAGGAAGGGGCUGUGUCUUCGUAGUACCCUUAUUCUUAAAGAAGCGCUCAACGGGACCACCUCCGAUCAUCUUUUUGGACGUCCUCUCCUCCUUUCCCCCUAGAUCUUCGCCCGAUGCCUCCCCGCAAAGCAUCCACACGAUGAUCCACGGCCUCCGUGGCCAGAUCUCAAGCUCCAGCCUCACCUUCAGUUUCCCAGCCUCCUCCUCCUCCGACAAUGGCGGUUGGCAUGGAACAAUUCGACCUACUGGCCCAG